UUCAUUCAGCCCAUACAAAAAAAAAAUCAAAACAGGGCUGGGCUUCGAGAGAGAGAAAACGAAGGAGAGUGAGAUCGAAACCCUAGAAUCCACUGCCACCGCCUCCGCUACCGCCAACGCCAUUCAUCUCUGCCAUUGUUACCGUUAUUGUCUCCUUCGUUGCCACGUCACUGCUGGUGUUAUGAAUGAAGGACAAGGUGAUCGUGGAGUCUCUCCUCUGCUUUUGCGUCGUCUUCCACGGCGAGUUCUUCCGCUGGUUCUGCUUUAGCUUCGGUGGCUUGAAGCACUCAGAGCGCAGUUUCGGCGCGGACGCGGUGGCACUGGCGGAGCAGGUCUGGAAGGCGAGCGAGCGGGAGUCUCUGGAAGCUUCGAUUGAAGCUGCUUUCGAAGCUAUCAGAUCUCGUGGAACUGAUUCUCAUGUCGUUCCAAGUCAUUGCAGUGAGAAUUUCUUCCUAAUUUGUUCUUGUUUAGUUCGGGACUUAAAUUUUCUCACUCACUUCCGUUCAGAAUUUGUUCAGACAAUCUCCGUGUUUGUGAGAGAGAUUGCUAUUUCUGCACCUCUUCUAUGGAUUUUGUGAACUGAAUUGCAGAGAAUGCAAGAAUUGCAAUCCUCAACUCAAGCUUCUCACAAUUUCUAAAGUGAACGAUAACCAAACAAUCACACAACUGAUGCUCUCAUUUCGGAUUCAGAAUCAGCAUCUGCUACAAUUAAUGAUAGCAAGAAAGUUUCACGCCAAGACAUUGAGCUUAAUUUGGUUGAUGCAAAAAAGAAAGGCGUUAAGGAUGAACUUCAGAAGCUUAUCUCCGAGUGGCCCAAGGAAGUUAUUACGUACAGGAAAGGAGAGGAUCAAAAGACACUAGCAUCGUCUUUAAAAUCCGAUAUCCUGGCCAUGGUUAGUCAACUGAACAUGGAACUUGAGGCAAGUCUACAUUUGGAAGACCUUAAGGGAUAAAUGCUUGUUCAAGGAUGAGCUUCAUCCUGUGAUGAUUUUUCUGGGUCUUCUGUUAGGUCCUGAGUUCAAAGUUUCAGCAAUAGUCUCUUUUGUCUUUGUAUUUGUUUGCAAUUUCAUCUUUGGCUUUCUGCCUUAUGUCGACAACUUUGCAAGCAUUGGAGGUUUUGUAUCAAGGUUCCUUCUUGGAUCUGUACUUCUACCCAGCAGAAAGCUUGAAGUUUCGUAUCAGGGAAAAAAGUGCUGAGUAAGAAGGCUAAAUUGGGUCUAGAAUUCAGUGGUUCCAAUGCCAGGUGGAAAUGGAAUGCAAGAAGUGGCACUGAGGGUAAAUAGUAAGUGUUCUAUAAAGUUAAGAUCAAAGGAACACAGGACACUCUCUUAGACAACACAGGAACACUCAUCUUUGGCAAUGCUAAAUCACUCUAUGAGGUAUCAAUAGCAUUCUUUACUCUUUUCAUUUCCUAGUUUAUUAGUUCACUAUUGGUAGAGGCAGAGCUUUGUACUAGUGUGGUUUUGGUAGGUUUUGCAAUGGUGAACUGCCUAGUGAUAUUAGUAUUUCCAUUGAUAUUAGUGAUAUUAGUUUUUGGUAUACUAGUGUGGUUUUGGUAGCUUUGUUCCUUUAAUAUCUUGUAUAAAUUUUAUUUUUGGAUGCAUGAAGCAUAAUUCCGUUUUACUGAGCAUGCAAAUUUGAGUUCUUCUAACUAUAUAUUAUAAUUUCUGGUAUCUCAUUUCAAGUAUACAUUAAUGAUUAUGGCCUUGCGAAAAAGUAUAGGGAUCUUCUAAUCUCUUUGAUGCUUGGAGAUCAGCUGGUGAUAACAACGAAUAUCCAAAGAUAAAUAUUUAAGACUUUUAUGUAAUUAGAUGAUAUUGAAAUAUUGAAGUUGUUAUUUUAUUUUACUUUUUAAAGAAAAACAAUAAUAGUUAUGUAGAACAAUACCAUAUGUAAUUAUGUUUGGAACUAUUGACAUUGAGAAUUUUUUUUUA